UGGGGGAUAACGUUCGGAAACGGACGCUAAUACCGCAUACGUCCUACGGGAGAAAGCAGGGGACCUUCGGGCCUUGCGCUAUCAGAUGAGCCUAGGUCGGAUUAGCUAGUUGGUGAGGUAAUGGCUCACCAAGGCGACGAUCCGUAACUGGUCUGAGAGGAUGAUCAGUCACACUGGAACUGAGACACGGUCCAGACUCCUACGGGAGGCAGCAGUGGGGAAUAUUGGACAAUGGGCGAAAGCCUGAUCCAGCCAUGCCGCGUGUGUGAAGAAGGUCUUCGGAUUGUAAAGCACUUUAAGUUGGGAGGAAGGGCANUUACCUAAUACGUGAUUGUUUUGACGUUACCGACAGAAUAAGCACCGGCUAACUCUGUGCCAGCAGCCGCGGUAAUACAGAGGGUGCAAGCGUUAAUCGGAAUUACUGGGCGUAAAGCGCGCGUAGGUGGUUUGUUAAGUUGGAUGUGAAAUCCCCGGGCUCAACCUGGGAACUGCAUUCAAAACUGACUGCUAGAGUAUGGUAGAGGGUGGUGGAAUUUCCUGUGUAGCGGUGAAAUGCGUA
rnacentral:rRNA from 1 species